rnacentral:rRNA from 1 species
AACGAACGCUGGCGGCGCGUCUUAAACAUGCAAGUCGAACGAGAAUCCCAGUGCUUGCAUUGGGAGGAAAGUGGCGAACGGGUGAGUAACACGUGGAUAAUCUACCUCCGGGUUGGGGAUAACUGCUGGAAACGGCGGCUAAUACCGAAUGACAUGGCUGUUACAUAAGUAAUGGCCAUCAAAGGUGGGGACCGCAAGGCCUACCACCUGGAGAUGAGUCCGCGGCCCAUUAGCUAGUUGGUGCGGUAACGGCCCACCAAGGCAACGAUGGGUAGCCGGCCUGAGAGGGUGUACGGCCACAUUGGGACUGAGAUACGGCCCAGACUCCUACGGGAGGCAG